rnacentral:misc_RNA from 1 species
UUCGCGAGAGCGGAUACAACUUUCCGAUCUCCCGCCUUUCUUAAAGGAUUGUGAACUUCAUUGAUCUACUAUAGAAUGCCGAAAGCUAAGAAGAAAACCCAACGACCACAGCGUUCCUCCCAGGCAGAGUCUUCGGAUGAAGAAGUGGAGGCGACCCAAUCCCUGACACAAGCACAGAGGGCGGUGUCCAACUUCUCCCAGGCAGAUAUACAGAAGAAGGUAACAGAGCUGGUGCAGUAUAUUUUGAUUGCAGACCAGAAGAAAAUUCCAAUCAAAAAGAAAGAAAUCAACAGACAUGUCCUGAAGGAAAUGAGCAAGAGUUUCCCAAUACUGAUCAAGAAGGCAGAAGAACAGCUGCAAUAUGUGUUUGGGUUUAAACUGCAGACAGAAACAACAGGAAAACAGACCAGUUACAUGCUGGUCAAUGCCAUAGAUCUUAAUGAAGAUGAACCACAUCUGAAAUGGUCCCCAGAAGAAAAUGCUAAGACUGGUCUUCUGAUGAUUAUCCUCAGUCUUAUCUUUAUGGAGGGGAAUGUAGUCCCAGACACAAAGUUGUGGCAUACACUGAAAAGACUUGGAGUAGACUCAGAGAAGAAUCACGAGGUGUUUGGUGACGUCAAGAAGUUGGUGACGCAAGAGUUCGUACGUCAGGCGUACCUGGAGUAUGUACGUCAACCAAAUACAGACCCACCGUCCUUUGAAUUCCGGUGGGGUUCUCGUGCACAGGCUGAGACCACCAAGAGAAAUGUGCUGGAGUUUGUUUGCCAGAUUUACGGAAGGGAAGUAGAUGAUGUAGAUAGUCCAGAGUAUGGUAACUGUGUACCUAUGGAACUGACCAAGUGGACCUCACAGUACCAAGACGUCGUAAGAUCUGAAAUGGAAGGUCCAAAUGUCAGCCAUAACGAAGACUCCAGUUGAGAGAGAAACGAGUUUCUGGACUGAUGGACCAAAACUAGCUUUUAGUCAAAAAGAAGUUCUGUAGAUACAGCGUGUAACCAAAUAACAGUAAUUUAGAUUCCGGGGUGGAGAAAAUUAAACAGUAAAGAAGAAAAAUUACAAGAUAAUGGUGUCCUAGUUUAGCCUGUGUCAUCUACGAUAGAGUCCCAUUUGUAAUACAUCAUUCCCAUUCCCAUUGAUUUCUUUACCAAAGUCCCGUCCUAGAUUGUGAACCAUUUACGUCACGCUAACCCUGAACUGUAUGAAUUUAAUGACGGGUGGCGUCUGUUACCAAUUUCCGUCACACCAGCAGAACAAUCUUUUAACACAAUUCAAAUUUUAAGUGAAGUAAACUUUUUGAUACUGCAUCACUGGUACAUUGUUUAUUUUUCAUUUCCCUAGCAAUCUCUUGUUACACUUCAAGACCUAAAGACUGGCGUCCAUUGCCUGUGGGUCUUGUGGAAGGAAUUCUGUUGGAAACGUCAGAGAGGAACCGGUAGUAUACCGCCAAAGCGAACGAUAAACUACGCUUCUGCUUGGUAUUAGUGAGAACUUGAG